GUCUUUUUCAUUGCAUGCUCAUUUAUACUUUCUUUUUUCUUUUUUUCUGUUUCUUUUGUUUUCUUUUCUUCCUCUUAUUGUUGUUGUUGUUAUUAUUGUCGUUCUUCUUUGUGCUUACCAGUAUAGGAGACAGUUUUCAUCUUUUCUUCUCCUUCUUCUUCUUCUUGUAUGUGGCAUUGAUACGCAUUUGUAAGGGAUAAAAAAUAUAACGAAAAUCUACAUAAAAAAUAAUAUAAUGUCAGACGCUGUGAGGAAUAAUCUCGUCAGCUUGGAAGGAAGAAAGACAGAUAAAAUCAUUGAAUGCGUGACAAUAGUGAAUGUCGUGCUGAGAGAGAGAGAGAGAGAGAGAGAGAUCCAUGUUAACAGGAGAAAUAACGACUUAAAACAAAUGAGAGAAAUAUACGUUAAAAAAAAAGAGAAGAUGAUAAGAAAACGUAAAGGAAGGGAAGGGAAAGGGAAGACUAAGAGGAAAGUGAGAUAAUAAAUGUGAAGAGAGUGAAGGGAAAGACGAAUAAGAUAAAUAGUAUAAGGCGUAAAGAAAGGGAGGGAGAGGAGAGAGAAGGAGAUAACAAGAAUCUUAAGAAAAAAAAAUAGUUAAUGUGAUUGAGAGAAUAAAAAAAAAAACAAGAGAAAAACAAACAAACAAACUUACACACUCACGUAAACAAAAGAAAUAAACAAAAAAUGACGAGAAGGGAGAGAAAGAUAAUUAGUGGGAAGCAAAAGAGAAAAGAUGGGAAAGAGUUAACUAAUGUGACUGCAGGAAUGAAUCAACAAAACAACACACAAAAAGAAAAGAAAAAAACUUGCACGCACCCGACAAUCAGUGAAAUGGUGAAACGAGACAACGAAAGAUAAUGGAAGGAAAAAAGCGGAGGAAAAAAAAAGAAAAAGAAAGGAAAAGGUGGAAGAGAGAAAACAAGAUAAACAAUUGGGUUACGAAAGAGAUUGAGAAGAACAAGAAAAAGGGUUGAUGAAACGAAUGGAAACGAAGAAAAAUAGAAUAAGAGAAAAGUUGAAAAGAAAAAAAGAGAAAAAGUGGGAGAGAGAAAACGAGGUAAACAAUUGAGUUACGAAAGAGAAUGAAAAGAACGAGAGGAAAAGAACGGUCGAGGAACUGAAUAGAAACGAAGAAAAAUAGAAUAAAAGUUGAAAAAAAAAGAGAAAAAGUGGGAGAGAAAACGAGGUAAACAAUUGGGUUACGAAAGAGAAUGAAAAGAACGAGAGGAAAAGAACGGUCGAGGAACUGAAUAGAAACGAAGAAAAAUGGAAUAAGAGAAAAGUUGAAAAGAAAAAAAGAGAAAAAGUGGGAGAGAAAACGAGGUAAACAAUUGAGUU